rnacentral:rRNA from 1 species
ACCUCUCACUAUUGGAGCGGCCGAUAUCGGAUUAGCUGGUUGGUGGGGUAAAGGCCUACCAAGGCGACGAUCCGUAGCUGGUUUGAGAGGACGACCAGCCACACUGGGACUGAGACACGGCCCAGACUCCUACGGGAGGCAGCAGUGGGGAAUUUUGGACAAUGGGGGAAACCCUGAUCCAGCCAUCCCGCGUGUGCGAUGAAGGCCUUCGGGUUGUAAAGCACUUUUGGCAGGGAAGAAACGGCCUGGGAUAAUACCCUGGGCAACUGACGGUACCUGCAGAAUAAGCACCGGCUAACUACGUGCCAGCAGCCGCGGUAAUACGUAGGGUGCAAGCGUUAAUCGGAAUUACUGGGCGUAAAGCGUGCGCAGGCGGUUCCGAAAGAAAGGUGUGAAAUCCCAGGGCUUAACCUUGGAACUGCACUUUUAACUACCGGGCUAGAGUACGUCA